UGGCGCCUACUCCAGAACCCUGAAUCUUUGUGUGCACGAGUUCUAAGUGCAAAGUACUACCCUGAUGGAAACAUUCUCAUGGCAGGACCAAAAAAGGGCUCCUCUUUUACUUGGCAAAGUAUUGUAGCGGGUAUACAAACUUUUAAGAGAGGGUGCAUCUGGCAUGUAGGUACGGGAUCACAAAUCAAUAUCUGGAAUGAUCCCUGGAUACCCACCAGUGAUAAUAGGAAAAUCAUAACUCCAAGGGGAGCAACUAUGUUGAGCAAGGUGGAGGAAUUAAUUGAUCCUUAUACUGGACAAUGGGAUGAGCAUUUGAUCCGAGAAGUGUUUUGGCAGGUUGAUGUUCACCGGAUCCUACAAAUUCCUCUUCGAGUGCAGCUGCUUCAAGACUUUGUAGCAUGGCACUAUGAUCGAUCUGGUAACUUUAAUGUACGAUCGGCAUAUCGGGUGCAAUUUCAGCAUCAGUUUGGCGGCAGGGAGAAUCAAUAUAUAGCUCAAGGUAGCCGGCAAAACAACAUCUGGAAACGUGUGUGGGGCUUGAGAGUUCCUGGCAAAGUAAAACAUUUUGUCUGGAAGGUGAUUCGGGGAAUAUUACCAUGCUAUGGCGAAGGAAAUAUGCCCUAG
rnacentral:rRNA from 1 species